GAUGAACGCUAGCGGCAGGCCUAACACAUGCAAGUCGAGGGGUAGAGGUUGCUUGCAACCUUGAGACCGGCGCACGGGUGCGUAACGCGUAUGCAAUCUGCCUUGUACCGAGGGAUAGCCCAGAGAAAUUUGGAUUAAUACCUCAUAGUAUCUUUUCCCGGCAUCGGGAUAUUAUUAAAGUUCCAACGGUACAAGAUGAGCAUGCGUCCCAUUAGCUAGUUGGUAUGGUAACGGCAUACCAAGGCAAUGAUGGGUAGGGGUCCUGAGAGGGAGAUCCCCAACAAUGGUACUGAGACACGGACCAGACUCCUACGGGAGGCAGCAGUGAGGAAUAUUGGUCAAGGGGCGAAAGCCUGAACCAGCCAUGCCGCGUGCAGGAUGAAGCAUCUAUGGUGUGUAAACUGCUUUUAUACGGGAAGAAACACCGGUUCGUGAACCGGCUUGACGGUACCGUAAGAAUAAGGAUCGGCUAACUCCGUGCCAACAGCCGCCGUAA
rnacentral:rRNA from 1 species